CGGUGCCUCCGCGGCACGGCUCACAGUCCUGCUGCCAGAGAGACAGAGCCGGGAGCUGCCGAUGGAGACCCAGUCGCACGGGGCAGUGGGAAGUCGGCGAGGACUGGCUGCUUGGCUUUGAGAACUGAAUUCCAUAGGCGUUAAAGCAUCCGAAAAUGCCCUAUGGAUUCAGUUCUGCAGUUGGGCAGCUAAUAAGCCUCCAGCCUUCAGGAAGAGAGAAGAGCUGAGUGCUGUGUCUGCAGAAACACACACAGAGAUCCCAGCAGGGAUGGAGAUGUGCCGCCUGCACCUGCUGCAGAAACUCACCUAACACAGCCCAGCUUCACCUGCACCAGCUCUGUGAUGCCGGAGAAAACCUGCAGCACCAUAUCUGACUGCUGCAUCGCCACAUAAGGAUCUGAAGUGCAAGCUUUGGGAUUACUGCUUAAACUGCUGCCCUUCAGAAGGGAUAACCACCAGCCAUCGGCAGAGCCAACCUCUGCCCACUCAGCAGGCCCCACUGCUCACAGCACAGCUAGGGAGCAGCAGCAGCUUCAAGUUUCUGUAGCAGCUUUUCUGGUUCAGAGCUUUCACUGCUUCAUGUGGCAGCAGAGCUCACCCAUUUCAGAGAAACAAA